GGGAUUGUGGCAGACAAUGUAAUGCACCGGACUCUUAAUUCGGUCGAUGUGGGUUCGAUACCCACCGAUCCCAC
rnacentral:tRNA from 1 species